rnacentral:misc_RNA from 1 species
ACAAAACUUGACGAAUUGUGGUGUAAAGGCAAAGAAGAUUAUAAAGGUCGUUCGAAGAGAUGGGAAUGUGAUAGUUCUUCAACUUGUUCAAGUACUAGGAAGAGUCUAUUCGGGCAAUGGUGCAAUAGGCAAUUGAGAAAACAAUUGAGGGUGUGAAACAAAGGGUUGCAAUUUGGUUAUACAUGCUCAAGCCUCACGAUUGCAAAGACUUAGUGAUGGGCCUUAUGGAUGAGAUUACU